rnacentral:rRNA from 1 species
UAAGACGUAGGGAGCGAGCGUUAUCCGGAUUCAUUGGGCGUAAAGCGCACGCAGGCGGCCAAGUAAGUCGGGUGUGAAAUCCCGGGGCUCAACCCCGGGCGUGCAUCCGAAACUGCUUGGCUAGAGGUAGGCAGGGGAGAUCGGAAUUCCUGGUGUAGCGGUGAAAUGCGCAGAUAUCAGGAGGAACACCGGUGGCGAAGGCGGAUCUCUGGGCCUUACCUGACGCUCAGGUGCGAAAGCUAGGGGAGCGAACAGGAUUAGAUACCCUGGUAGUCCUAGCCGUAAACGUUGGAUACUAGGUGUGGGGGGACAUCGACCCCUUCUGCGCCGAAGCUAACGCAUUAAGUAUCCCGCCUGGGGAGUACGGCCGCAAGGCUA